rnacentral:rRNA from 1 species
CAAUAGCGUAUAUUAAAGUUGUUGCGGUAAAAAAGCUCGUAGUUGGAUUUCUGUUGAGAGCGACCGGUCCAUACCAUGUAUGCGUAUCUGGCUUGCUCUCGGCAUCCUCUCGAUAGACGUUACUGCGCUUGAUUGCGUGGUGCGGAUCUCGGGACUUUUACUUUGAGGAAGUUAGAGUGUUCACGGCAGGCUUUCGCCAGAAUACAUUAGCAUGGAAUAAUACUAUAGGAUCUUGGUUCUAUUUUGUUGGUUUCUAGAAUUGAGAUAAUGAUUAAUAGGGACAAUUGGGGGCAUUCGUAUCAACACGUCAGAGGUGGAAUUCUUGGAUUGUGUUGCGACGAACUACUGCGAAAGCAUUUGCCAAGGAUGUUUUCAUUGA